rnacentral:rRNA from 1 species
GACGAACGCUGGCGGCGUGCCUAACACAUGCAAGUCGUGCGGGAAUAUGGGGGCAACCCCAUUAGUACAGCGGCGCACGGGUGAGUAACACGUAGGUAACCUACCCUUCAAGCCCGGGAUAACUUGUCGAAAGACGGGCUAAUACCAGAUAAGACCACGGGGGCUUCGGUCUCAGUGGCAAAAGGUGGCCUCUGCUUGCAAGCUACCACUUAGGGGAUGGGGCCUGCGUGCCAUUAGCAGUUGGUGGGUAACGGCCACCAGGCGGAGAUGGCUAGCUGGUCUGAGAGGAUGGCCAGCCACACUGGGACUGAGACACGGCCCAGACUCCUACGGGAGGCAGCAGUGGGGAAUAUUGCGCAAUGGGCGAAAGCCUGAUCCAGCCAUGCCGCGUGAGUGAAGAAGGCCUUA